AUUGAACGCUGGCGGCAGGCCUAACACAUGCAAGUCGAGCGGUAGAGAGAAGCUUGCUUCUCUUGAGAGCGGCGGACGGGUGAGUAAUGCCUAGGAAUCUGCCUGGUAGUGGGGGAUAACGUUCGGAAACGGACGCUAAUACCGCAUACGUCCUACGGGAGAAAGCAGGGGACCUUCGGGCCUUGCGCUAUCAGAUGAGCCUAGGUCGGAUUAGCUAGUUGGUGAGGUAAUGGCUCACCAAGGCGACGAUCCGUAACUGGUCUGAGAGGAUGAUCAGUCACACUGGAACUGAGACACGGUCCAGACUCCUACGGGAGGCAGCAGUGGGGAAUAUUGGACAAUGGGCGAAAGCCUGAUCCAGCCAUGCCGCGUGUGUGAAGAAGGUCUUCGGAUUGUAAAGCACUUUAAGUUGGGAGGAAGGGCAGUAAAUUAAUACUUUGCUGUUUUGACGUACCGACAGAAUAAGCACCGCA
rnacentral:rRNA from 1 species